AGAUGUCCCAAAGUGUCCUGAAGCUGCACACUUGGUCGAAGAAGAUGACCUUCCCCGAUAGAAACAUACUGUUCAUCGGUCAAGGGUAUAUGGUAGUUGCGCUUCCCUGCUAGAACCUCCAAACAAGCUCAAGGUGUUAGUUACUUGUCCUUAGCACCUCGUCAAAAGAAUAUAAAAAACCCACUUCCAUUAUAAGUUUUCUCAUAUGCAAAUUCAAUUGCCUGU
rnacentral:snRNA from 1 species